CAUGCAAAGGCCGCCGCUGAAAAUCCUUACUGGAUAUCUCCUGCAUAUGCAACGUCACAACCAAAGCCUAUUUUCCAAGAAGUGUCUGAUGAUGAUGAUGAUGAUGUACAUCAAACAAGCAAGAAACCUAAGUUAGGAACUUAAAAAAAAUCUACUGUAAAUAUAGGUUUGUUUUGUUAUAUAAACUAUGGGUUAAUUUUUUUUAAUCAUUUAUUUGACUGAGAAGUACCAUACUUCCCCAAUUGCAGUAAUGACAGUUUAAUACAAAACAAUUUAUGUUGUAUGGGAGGUCAGUUUCAUAUAUUCAAGAAAUUAUUUUUUAAUAAAAAUGCAGUUUCAGGA
rnacentral:lncRNA from 1 species